UUUGAAAUGAUGAUUUCUCGCAGAAGGUCGUGAAUGCGGCAUGUUUUCACCCUUCCGUCAUUCGUUGUCCCUGCGAUUUGAAUCAUGCUUCUAUUCAGGAGCUCAUUAAGGUAGUCCUCUGCAACUUCUUCUUGUGUCUUUCCUUCUUUGACUUCAACAAACCCCUCUGCAAUCCACAAUCUUAUCAGUCUCAUACUCUCAAUCAGAUGGUUCUCAGGGAAGAUGCUUAAAUACAAGAAACAAGAUUUCAAGUGGUACGGCAAAUCAUUGAAACUCAGCAGAAGGACUUCUUUGAAAUUCAUGAGUCUACUGUUGUCCUCAAUUUCAGCACCAAGGCUGAGGUAAACAGUCUCCCAUUCAGCAAUGGUACGUCUUUUUGUAGCCAAAACACCACCGAUUGCUACAAUUGCAAGUGGAAGUCCCUCGCACUUCUCCAAAAUACGUCUAGAAUGUUUCUCCAAUUCAGGAGGACAGGGUUCCUGCCGGAAACAUUUCUUACAGAAAAGAAUCCAGGACUCAUCCGGAGGUAAGGGCUCUAAAUUGAAGACCUUAUCUUCAGAUUCUAUGCAGGAGGUAGAUGCUACUCCAGAAUUACGUGUUGUGAGCAACACACGACUGCCACGAUCAUUGUUAGCCAAUGCGUAAUUGACCACGUCCCAUUCAUUCAUGUGCCACACAUCAUCUAAAACAAUCAAGUACCUCCUUCUCUGCAGGAAGUCCUUGACUACCCUUUUCAGAUCAUGAACCGAAUUCAUGUCAUUCACACGUUUAGGAACUGGCUUCCUGAUUGCAUCGAAGAGUUGCCGUACCAUAUUUCUUAGGAGCUCCUCUAUCUUGAAAGGACGGGAAAUAGUAACCCAAACAUGUACAUCAAAAUGUUUCUUCACAUUUGCAUUAUCAUAGACUUGCUUCACCAAGGUAGUUUUACCUGAUCCUCCCAUUCCAACCACCGAAAUCACCUUGCGCCCGGAGUUUCUCUCAACCAACCAGUUGAUCAGUUGCACUUUAGACCCGUCAAUACCUACCAAGUCAACGCUGUCUAGAAGGAGGGCAUCCCCUCUUCCGUCCAGCCAUGGAUUAUCUGUGGUAGUGGAGCUUGGGCCUAGCUCGAUUGUACCCUUACCGUCAUAAUUUGGACGCCUGGCAGAUAUGGUGUCGAUUCUGGAUCUGAUGCCUCGUAAUUUAGGAGCAAUCCGGUGCUGAGCUUUCAAUUUUUUUGUAAAGCAGCAAACAUUGUAUAGAAAAGCAUCAAUCCCAUGCCUACGGUCAUUGACAAGGUCAAGCUUGUAUUCAUCCAGGAUGUCUUCAAUGUCGUAGGCGAUCUCUCUUACUUGCUGAACCCAGACCCUGAGUUCCUCGUUGCUCUCCCCCAUCGAGUCUGCAACUCUCAGGACUGCCUUCAUGCUCUGCAACUCGUCCUUGAUGUACUCCACAUCUUCAGGAAUCCCUUGCGAAAGCUCCACCUCAUUCUGCAGAAAUAAUGUGAGGUUUUCAAGAAGAAAGGAUACUGCAAUUUCAGCCAUCGCCAAUUUCAAUGGAUUCGUCUUGAAAAUGAAAAAAAUAAAUAAAUUAAAGAAGGUAUUGUUA
rnacentral:lncRNA from 1 species